rnacentral:rRNA from 1 species
CACGUAGGGGGCAAGCGUUGUCCGGAUUUAUUGGGCGUAAAGAGCUCGUAGGCGGUUCGGUAAGUCGGGUGUGAAACCUCCAGGCUCAACCUGGAGAUGCCACCUGAUACUGCUGUGACUCGAGUCCGGUAGGGGAGCGUGGAAUUCCUGGUGUAGCGGUGAAAUGCGCAGAUAUCAGGAGGAGCACCGGUGGCGAAGGCGGGUCUCUGGGCCUGACCUGACGCUGAGGAGCGAAAGCGUGGGGAGCGAACAGG